CCAGCCUUGUGUAUUGCAGUGAGCUUUCACCUCAGGGAAAUUUCUGUUGCUGCAUCUCUGUUUCCUGUCUCUUGCCUCUAUCAACAUUUCAUCUCACCCCAUCCGUGCAGAGUAGUUACAGUCCACUUGAACUGUCAAAGGAAAUCUGAACCCAGUAGAGGUAUUCAUAGGAGGGAUGAAGUUUGUAACAGGAAAAUCAGUUGACCAUUAUGAAAAGCUCAAACACAUCCUCCAUGGUAUUUAGUCCCCUUCUAUUCAAAGUACAGUAGUCAGAACAAACUUACUGAUAUUCCAUUCCACUUUCUUUCAGAAGAUCUUCAACCUUAAAAGUCUUCUCAGCUUCAACUCGGAAAUCAACUUGCAUUUUUGGCCUUACCAGUGUGACAGAGUCUGGCUGCCAAAAGUCAACCUGAAAGAAGAGCAAAUGAAGACAUAAACAACUUCUUUCAUUUUUUUCUCAGUUUUUUGCCUACAAAUGUUAGAGAGAAAUUAACUCAACAUCAGGUGUGAACUGUAUGAAUAUUUUACAUAAAUCAUCUGAAAAAGACUGUUGUCUGUAAGAGGGCUUUUAAAAGAGAUCACUGAAGUUGAUCUGAGGAGCCUGUGCCUUUGAAGAUGUUUCAUUCCAAGUAGACAAACAACAGUGUUAUUACUACUUCAGUUAUUUUUGCUGAAGUAAGCAUCCAGGCCUCUGGAUUUAGUGCUCUGUUGAAGGCCAAUGGAAACAGAGAUGAUUUGCCAGCCCGAUGCCUUUUCACCCUUUCAUCUCACAAAGUGUAUUUUCUGAAUUAGGUAAAUUGCUGAAACUUCUCUCAUGUUUGAAGAAACUGGUAUUUGUUAUCAAUGAGGAAAAUGAGAACAGGUCAUGAUGUUCAAUAUCUCCCUGUCACUGAAAAACAAGCUUCUGGAACUUGGACUAAGAGAUUUUUGUCAUGAAACAAAAAUUACUACUUUGGCUUGCUGGAAAUAAUUCUGGAUCAAGACAAGGAUUUAUGCAGAAUAAAAGCCACAAAAGAAAGGAAGAACCUGCUUGUAUCUUCUCCUCACACACCUGCUAAGAAAGCAAAUCCUGCUUUAGUCAUUGAUGCCACUUUGGGCAUUCUGCUGUAGUUGCACAGGAGUGUCUAGUGGAGCCUUCCACUUAAAUGACUGUUCUACUUUUCCUUUGGAACCAAAGAACCACAGAAAUUAAUGGGAACACACAUUGGAAGCAAGAGGUAUUCCAGACCUACUAACAAAAGCAGCAUAAUGAAAACUGAAGACCUUGAAUAACAAUAAAAUAACCGAGUUGGUAAAAACCCA
rnacentral:lncRNA from 1 species